rnacentral:rRNA from 1 species
AGAGUUUGAUCCUGGCUCAGGAUGAACAUUGGCGGCGCGCAUAAUGCAUGCAAGUCGAACGAAGUCUUACCCUUCGGGGUAGGUACUUAGUGGCAGACGGCUGAGUAACACGUGAGUGAUCUGCCUUUGGGUGGGGGACAACAGAGAGAAAUUUCUGCUAAUACUCCAUACGAUCCACAAUCUAAGGUUGUGGAUGAAAGGUGCCGGGUAACUGGUUUCCGCCCUUAGAUGAGCUCGCGGCCUAUCAGGUUGUUGGUGGGGUAAUAGCCUACCAAGCCUAAGACGGGUAGCUGGUGUGAGAGCACGACCAGUCAGAGGGGGACUGAGACACGGCCCCCACUCCUACGGGAGGCAGCAGCAGGGAAUCUUCCACAAUGGGCGAAAGCCUGAUGGAGCGACGCCGCGUGAGGGAUGAAGGCUCUAGGGUCGUAAACCUCUUUUCUUAGGGAAGAGCAAGGACGGUACCUAAGGAAUAAGUGACGGCUAACUACGUGCCAGCAGCCGCGGUAAUACGUAGGUCACAAACGUUGUCCGGAAUUAUUGGGCGUAAAGGGUCCGUAGGCGGUUCGGUAAGUCUCCUGUGAAAUCUUCAGGCUCAACUUGAAGAGGUCGGGGGAUACUGCUGGACUAGAGACUGACAGAGGCAAGUGGAAUUCCCGGUGUAGUGGUGAAAUGCGUAGAUAUCGGGAGGAACACCAGUGGCGAAAGCGGCUUGCUGGGUCUGUUCUGACGCUGAGGGACGAAAGCGUGGGUAGCAAACCGGAUUAGAUACCCGGGUAGUCCACGCUGUAAACGAUGAAUACUAGGUU